AGCGGGACCUUGGAGCCAUGUGCCUGUGCUCUCAUCUUCCAAGUUUAGGGGGAGGCAUACAGGGGACUCUGGGCCUGAUGGUUUCCUCUUAACCAGGAUGCAGUCUGAAUGGCAGGGCAACUGGCCUUCACCUGGUGGCCUUCACUGGGUGCCCCCAUUUGUUGCCUUGGGUUGGUAACCUCAGCUGGUGGUCUUCAGGUGGUGGCCUUGAGUUGUUGGGCAGCUGUGGAAGGACCUCCAUCAAUGUUCUCUCCUCCCCCAGUCACAGCUCUCAGUUCUCAGUCACAGCAUCCAGGCCCAUUCUGAAUAAACCAGGCAGGGUGGUGGCUGUUGCAGAUAAGUUGGCUCAGGGUGAGCAGGUGAGGCAGGGUGGGGGCUGCUAGUGGUGUGCAGCUCCAUGGCCUGGGUGCUACCUGUGCCAGCCGUGCCUAUGCUAGAAAGAAGUGGCAGGUGCUGAGCAGUGCAGACGUGGGGGUCAGUGAAGGCCCAAGCUGCCUGAGAUGUGCUGAGCUGCCCCUUGUGGAUCACGCUGACCACAUGCAUCAAAGACAGCCCGAGGCAUGGCCAGCAUAGGGAUUCAUCAAAGGCAAUCUGGGCUCUGACAUGUUAAUUGGUGGCUAACAAAGAGGCGAGCCCCAGCAGAGAGGAGCAGAGGCACCCGGAACAACCUGUACCCCAAUGCCAGCCCCAAGCGGGGCAAGCUCAGGGUGCAGUGGGAAGAGACAUCGUGAGACUCUGAGAUCUGCCACACCGAAGUGGCAGUAUACCAGACCUCCUGCUUUGGAGCCUGCACAGUUGGAUUUGGGAGCAAGAGACCGUCCUGACUUGCAGCACAUUGGCGACCAGAAGACACCCAAAGGUAGGGAGGCGACAGACACUGCUUGGCCUCAGGAGCUUAUCUGGCCAUUGCUCAACCAAGGUUGCACCUGGAGGCAUCCAUAGCAUGGGGCUCCCCCCUCCUUCCCCUAGUUAGCUUUCUUAGGCUAAGGCCACAAGCAAAAGGACUGGGUCUGCCUUGCCUUCCCAGCUUAUCUCGGUUCCCUGCUGGGUCCAUCCAGUAUCCUUCAUCCUUCCUACCCGAUUCUGAGUUCUGGGACCUCAUCUGCUUCCCCCAGGCUGGCCAGAAACUAAGUUUCCAACUACAAAAUGAAUGCCACAGAUUUCGUUGCUAUAGAAAAAGUAUCUAACAUUUCUUCUAUUUAAACUUAAAUAGCCUUCUUGGGACUCACAAUUUCAUUUCUUGAUAUCUGGAUUAGAGCUCUGUAUUUUAAAGCAAUAUCAGAGGGUCAGAGGCAUGUCCUCUUGAUUCUAAUCAUCUAAAAAAAAUUUUUUUUGUAGAGGCAGGGUCUCUCUGUGAUCUCCAGGCUGGUCUCAAACUCCUGGUGUCAAGUGAUACCAUCUUGGCUUCCCACAUUGCUGAGCAGAUAGGCAAGAACCAGCACACCUGGACUUUGGAGGUGCUCUUGCUUUGCAUGUUUCCACUGCUCCUCCUACCCAGCUGUCAGUGUGAUGCUCUUGAGACAUCAUUCCAAAGUUUUCUAGACAAAUUCAGUGGAUCCUGUGACAUUUUACGUGAAAUAAUACCUUUGCUUAUUGCAGAUAAACUAGGUAAUUCACAUUUAAUAAUCUGGGUCCUAGAAAUUUUAUAUCUAUUUUUUUGAGAUAAAAUUUGGCUCUGGUUGCCCAGAAUAAAGUGCAAUGAGAGCAUCUUAGGUCAUUGCAACCUCUGCCUCCUGGGUUCAAGUGUUUCUCCUGCCUUAGCCUUCUGAGUAGCUUUAAUUAGAGGCAUUCACCACACACUCAGCUAAUUUUGUCCUUUUUAGUAGAGAUGGAGUUGCACCAUGUUGGUCAGGCUUCUCUCAAACUCCUGACCUCAGGACAUCUGCCCGCCCUGGCUUCCCAACGUACAGGCGAGAGCCACCAUCCCUGGCCAAAAGUUUCAUUUCUCAAUCAACAAACCUCUUUCUAAGGAGAUGCUUGUAGUCUAAAUAUGCAGAUUUCUAGUCAUUUCUAAAAGGUUGGGAACCACGGCAAGGCAACCUGGGAGGGAGUUUAGGUUAGUUAUGAGGCCAUGAAAGCCAUUCCACAUCACACAUAAGAGGGUAGAGAAAGGGCAUCCACAUGUUUUGACUGCCUCCACGUGCUCAGUAUAACUUGGCCUUGGUUAUGUUGCACUGCCUUUGGCGUCAGAGAGAACUGGAUUUGAAUCCCAGUUCCAUCGCUCAUUAGGACGUGAUGAUGAAUGUAUUUUUGACUCCCCUGAACCUCAUUUUGCUCCUUUAUAAAAAAUGGGAUUAUUAUGAGUCUUCCAUAAUAUUAGGGUAUAAAACUUGGUGUGGACAAAAUGCCUGUAAUUUAAAGGAUAGGGUUUUUUAAGGCUUCAAUAAGGUAAGUGUGUAAAAAUCUGGACACAAUGCCUAUAAUUUUGUAAGUCUUCAUUCUACAGAGAAGGAGGAUUUUUUCUUUAAUUUUUAGAGGAGGUUUAUAAAAACUGGUGUUACUUAUAUUUUUGAGAUAAUCAAACCAAGGAUCUGAAAGAUUAAAUGAGUCACAAUAGUUACAGUGCGGUUCACAAUACAUUUAUUAGUCACAAUAGUUACAGUGCGGUUCACAAUACAUUUAUUAGUCACAAUAGUUACAGUGCGGUUCACAAUACAUUUAUUAGUCACAAUAGUUACGGUGCGGUUCACAAUACAUUUAUUAGUCACAAUAGUUACGGUGCGGUUCACAAUACAUUUAUUAGUCACAAUAGUUACAGUGCGGUUCACAAUACAUUAUUAGUCACAAUAGUUACGGUGCGGUUCACAAUACAUUUAUUAGUCACAAUAGUUACAGUGCGGUUCACAAUACAUUUAUUAGUCACAAUAGUUACGGUGCGGUUCACAAUACAUUUAUUAGUCACAAUAGUUACAGUGCGGUUCACAAUACAUUUAUUGGGUCAUUGAAAAUAGCAAUGCUGAUCACAUAUCAAAUCUUGUAUUAGGAGAAUGCUUUUCUCUUACAAAAGGCUCUUGUUUGUUGAAGCCAUCGAUUCUAAGUUUCUGUAUAAAGUGGUCAUCAGGAAACUGUGAUAAACUUAGUGUAUAAAUUUAGAAAAUGUGCUCUAUUGUUCUUGUUAAUUUGAUUGAAUAUGUAGGUAAAUUUCAAAAAUAUAAAUGGAAGAUAUACAGAUUGAAUGUAUAUGUAUAUGUGUGUAUAUAUGUGAAAUAUAAUUAGACAUCACACAGUAGACUUAGCUCAUAGCAAUUUUUUUUCUGAAAGCACGUGCAGAAAUCUGUCAUUUUUGUGGUUUGUAAAAAACUCAGAGGUUAUGGAGGAAAGGAGGUUCUAUGAAUUCCAGCUAGUGCAACAGCCAGAUUUGGCUUCAGGAAUUUUAGCAUCAAUUAUUGUAAGGUAAUAAUCCCUAGGAACUUCAACACAGUGAAAAACGCAAAAGCUCUUAGCAGCCGGGAAUGAAUGAAAGGUGGGAUGCGGUGGCUGGCAGGAUGGGACCUUAUAAGCCACGUGCCUGGUCUCUCAAGUUCCAAGUUGGCAAGGACACGUGGAGGGGACUCUGGGCCUGAUUGUUUCCUCUUCACCAGGAUACGGACUGGUUGGCAGGGCAACCGGCCCUCACCUGGUGGCCUUCAGAGGGUGCCUUCAUUGGUUACCUUUGCUUAGUGCCCUCAGUUGGUGCCCUUUAAUUGUUGGUCUUCAGUUGGUUUGGCAGUGGUGGAAGGAGAAGGAGCUCCUCCUGUACUCUCUCCUCCUAAAGUCACAGUUCUCGGGCUUGUUGCACCAAGGCACACUAUAAAUAAACCAGGCAGGUUCACGACUUUUACAGACAAGUCAACUCAAGGUAGGUGGGUGAGAUAAGAUGUGAACUGCCAGUGGGAUACAGCCCUAUGGCCAGGGUUGCCUGUGCCAGUGUGACUUUGCUGGGAAGAGGCGGCAUGUUCUGACAUCUGCAGACGUAGAAGCGAGUGAAGGCCCAAGCUGCCUGAGAACAGAGUUGCCCCAAGGGGACCACCCUGUAGUAUCUCAUAUGCACCAAAGGCAGCACCAGGCAGGGCCAAAAUAGGGGUUCUGCGAAGCCAUCCUGGGACUCUGACAUCUAUGAGUGAGUGGCCAGAAAAGGCAGAGACACCAGAAGAGAGGAGCAGAGGCACCCAGAACAUGCUGUCCCACAAUGCCAGACCCAGGCAGGGCCAGCUCACAGUGUGGUGAGCUAAAUCAUCCUGAUGCUCCAAGAUCUAGGAGGUGGAAGUGGGGGUGUCUCCUGACCUGACUGCUUUGGGGCCUGCCCAGUUGGGUUUGGGAGCUGGCCAGGGUCCUGACUUGCAGCACGUUGGCAACCAGAAGACGACCAAAGGUAGGGAGGCAACAAAUACUGCUUGGCUCAUCUAUAUGUUAUGUUAUGCUGAUCUAUAAAAAAUUGUAUACAGCGGGAGCUCCUGAGGCCACUGCUGACUCAAGCUUCCCCUGAAAGACAUCCACAGCCUGGAGCUCUCCCUCCUGUCCCUUGUUAACUUUCCCAGCCCCAGGCCCCAAGCAGGAAGACUGGCUCUGCCUCGAGUCCCCACCCAUUCUUCUUUCUUCCUAACCCAAUACCCAGUUCAAUUUCGUCUUCAUCUUGCCCCAGGCUUCCUCAAUACUAAGUUGUCAAAAUUUAAAAUGUAAGCUACAAAUUUCUUUGGAUAGAGAAAAUGUCUGACAGCUUUUCUGGUUAAACUUAAGUAGCAAUGGUGAGACUUACAAUUUCAUAUCUUAAAUUCCACACCAUGCCCCAUUAUCAUAAAGUGAUGCUAGAGGCACUAUUCUUGAUUCUAAUCUUAUAAAAUGAUUUUCUGUGGAGACAGGGUCUCACUGUGUUACCCAGGCUAGUCCCAAACUCCUGGCCUCAAGUGACCUGCCCACCUUGGUCUCCCACAUUGCUAGGGUGACAGGCAGGAGCCACCACACCUGGCCUUUGGAGGUGCUCUUGUUUUGUGUGUAUAGUCUUGUCUUCCUGCACAGCUGUCAGGAAGAUGCUCCCGCAGCAUGGUUCUAAAUCUCUCUGCAAAUUCAGUGGAUCCUGUGACUUUUUUACAUGGAAUAGCCCUAUGUUUUAUAGAAAGGCUAGACAAUUCACAGUUAGUAACCUAGGGCCUAGAAAAUUUAGUUUCGUGAUCAACACAUCUCUUGGUCUAGAAAAUGUCUUUUCUUAAUCAGAGCACCUGUUUAUAAGGAGCUAAAUCUGUGGUCUAAAUAUGCAGCUUAGUAAUCAUCCCCAGAAGAAGGGGACCACUGCAAGGCAACCUGGGAAGGAGUUUAGGAUUGUUCUGAGGCCGUAAAAAACAAUGAAACUCACACAACAAAGGGUAGAGAAAGGGAUCCACGUUUUCACUCCUCCAUCUGCUGGGCACAACUCAUCUUCCUUAUGUUGCACAACCUUUGCUGUCAGAAAGAACCGGAUUUGAAUCCCAAUUCCAUCACUCAUUAUGACAUGGUAGGAAAUGUGUUUCUAAUGCCAGCGAGCCUCAGUUUGCUCAUCUGUAAAAAAUGAGACUUCCAUGAGUUAUGUGUAUAAAACUCUGGCCACAAUGCCUGUAAUUUAAAACAUGAGGUGGUUCUGGGCCUUCCAUAAGGUAAGUGUGUAAAAUCUGGGCAUAAUGACUGUAACUUAGAACUUCGGGUUGUUAUGUGGCCUCCGUAAGGUAAGUGUGUGAAAAUCUGGACACGACGUCUAUAAAUUGGUAAGUGUUCCAUAUAUGCAGAAGGAGAAUUAUUUUUCUCUCAUCUAAUUUUUAGAGCAAGUUUAUAAAAUUGUUGUUAUAUUUUGCAGUUAACCAAACUAAGAAUCAGAGAGAUUGAAUGUCACCAUAGUCACAAAGCAGUUCACAAUACAUACUGGGUAAUUGUUAUUUAUUACAGCAAGGAGGAUCACGUUUAAAAUACUGUAUUAUGUGGUGGCUUCUCUUACAUAAGCCUCUUUCUUACAUAAGAAACCAUGAAUUUUAAGUUGUUCCAUGAAAGUGAGCAAUAGAAAAUUGUGAUAAAGCUUAGUGUAUACAUUUUAGAAAAUUUCCUCUAUUAGUCUUAAUUUGCUUGAAUGUGUGUGUUAUUUUCAAAAAAAUGUAAAUUGAAUAUAUAUCUAUUGAAUACAUUUGUGUGUAUGUAUAUGCUUAAAACUUUACAUUAGAGGGUAGCCAUAAGUCAUGGCAAUGUUUCUUUCUGAAAGCACAUGCAGAAAUCUGUCAUUUCUCUAGUUUCUAUGAAGCUUAGAGGUUAUGGGGGAAAGGGGGUUCUAUGAAUCCAAGACACUGCAUGAGGCACAUUUGGUUUCAGUAAUUGUAGCAUCAUUCAUUAUAAGGCAAUGAUCCCUAGGAACCUCAGCACAGUGAGAAACCUGAAAGCACCCAGCAGCCAGCAAUGAGUAAAAUGUGGAGUGGGCUAAUAGCAGGGCAGGGCCUUGGAGCCAUGUGCCUGUGCUCUCAAGUUCCAAGUUUAGGGAGAGGCAUGCAGGGGACUCUCGGCCUGAUUGUUUCCUCUACACCAGGAUGCAGUCUGGAUGGCAGGGCAACUGGCCUUCACCUGGUGGCCUUCACUGGGUGCCCUCAUUGGUUGCCUUGCCUUGGCACCCUCAGCUGGUGGUCUUCAGUUGGUUGCCUUGAGUUGUUGGGCAGCGGCGAAAGGAGCUCCAUCGAUGUUCUCUCCUCCUGCAGUCACAGCACUCAGGCUUGUUGCAUCCAGGCCCAUUCUGAAUAAACCAGGCAGGGUGGUGGCUGUUGCAGAUAAGUCAGUUCUGGGUGACGGGGUGAGCAGGGUGGGGGCUGCUAGUGAUAUGCAGCUCCAUGGCCUGGUGCCACCUAUGAAAGAUAUGCCUAUGCUGGGAAGAGGUGGCAGGUGCUGAGGUCUGCAGACAUGGGGGCCAGUGAAGGCCCAAGCUGCCUGAGAUGUGCUGAGCUGCCCCUUGUGGAUCACGCUGACCACACGCACCAAAGACAGUCCGAGACUUCGCUGGUGCAGGGGUUCAUCGGAGCCAGUCUGGGCUCUGACAUCUGAGUUGGUGGCUAACAAAGAGCCAAGAUCCAGCAGAGAGGAGCAAAGGCACCCGGAACACACUGUACCAAUGCCAGCCCCAAGCGGGGCAGGCUCAGGGUGCAGUGGGAAGAGACGUCCUGACACUCUGAGAUCUACCACGUGAAGGUGGCAGUAUGCAAGACCUCACUGCUUUGGAGCCUGCACAGUUAGAAUUCAGAGCCGGAGAGGGUCCUGCCUUGCAGCAUAUCGGCAACCAGAAGACACCCAAAGGUAGGGAGGCGACAGACACUGCUUGGCCUCAGGAGCUUCUCUGGCCAUUGCUGACCCAAGGUUGCACCUGGAGGCAUCCACAGCAUGGGGCUCCUCUCUCCUUCCCCUAGUUAGCUUUCUUAGGCUCAAGCCACAAGCAAAAGGACUGGGUCUGCCUUGCCUUCCCAGCUGAUCUUGGUUCCCUGCUGGGUUCAUCCAGUUUUCUUCCUCCUUCCUACCCCAAUUCUGAGUUCUGGGACCUCUUCUGCUUCCCCCAGGCUGGCCAGACUAAGUUUCCAAACCACAAAAUGAAUGCUACAGAUUUCAUUGCUGUAGAGGUAAUGUUUGACAUUUCUUCUCUUUAAACUUGAAUAACCCUAUAUGGACACACAAUUUUAUAUCUUUAUUUCUGUACUAGCGCUCUGUAUUUUAAAGCAAGAUCAGAGAGGGUCAAAGGUACUCUUCUUUAUUCUAAUCCUUAAAAAAUUGUUUGUAGAGGCAGGGUCUCACUGUGUUCCUCAGGCUGGUCUCAAACUCCUGGUGUCCAGUGAUCCACCCACCUUGGCUUCCCACAUUGCUGAGCAGAUAGGAAAAAACCAGCACACCUGGACUUUGCAGGUGCUCUUGCUUUGCGUGUUUCCACUGCUCCUCCUACCCAGCUAUCAGUGAGAUGCUCCAACAGCAUCAUUCCAAAUCUUUCUGGAAAAAUUUAGUGGAUCCUGUGACAUUUUACAUGUAAUGUUACCUUUGCUUAUUGCAGAUAAACUAGACAAUUCACAGUUAGUAACCUAAGUCCUAGAAAUUUUUGUAUUUUUCUUGAGAUAAAAUUUUGCUCUUACUUCCCAGGAUGGAGUGUAGUGACACUACACUCUGCCUCCUGGAUUCAAGCAAUUCUCCUCCCUUUGCCUUCUGAGUAGCUGGGAUUAGAGGCAUUUGCCAGACUCUCAGCUAAUUUUGUACUUUUUAGUAGAGGUGGAGUUCCACCAUGUUUGUCAGUCUCAUCUUGAACUCCUGCCCUCAGGACAUCUGCCCACCCUGGCUUCCCAAAGUACAGGCGAGAGCCACCAUCCCUGGCCAAAAAUUUCAUUUCUCCAUCAACAAAGCUGUUUCUAAGGAGAUGCUUGUAGUCUAAAUAUGCAGAUUCCUUGUCAUUUCCAGGAGAAAGGGCACCACUGCAAGGCAACCUGGGAGGGAGUUUAGGUUGGUUAUGGGGCCAUGAAAGCCAUUCAAAUUCACACAUAAGAGGGUAGAGAAAGGGAAUCCACAUGUUCCGACUGCCUCCAUGUCCUGAGUAUAACUUGAUCAUUGUUAAGUUGCAGUACCUAUGGCGUCAGGGAGAACUGGAUUUGAAUCCCAGUUCAUCACUCAUUAGCAUGUGAUGGUGAAUGUGCUUUUAACUCCUCUGAACCUCAUUGUACUCAUCUAUAAAAGAUGGGAUUAUUUAGAGGCUUCCAUAAUAUAAAUGUAUAUAAAUUGGUGUGGGCACAAAUGACUGUAAUUUAAAGGGUUGUUUUAAGGAUUCAAUAAGGUAAGUGUGUAAAAAUCUGGACACAGUGCCUAUAAUUUUGUAAGUCUUCAUUAUAAACAGAAGGAGGAUUAUUUUUCUCUCAUUUCAUUUUUAGAGCAAAUUUAUAAAACUGGUGUUGCUCAUAUUUUUGACAUAAUCAAACCAAGGAUCUGAAAGAUUCAAUGAGUCACUAUCGUCACAGAGCAGUUCACAAUCCAUCUACUGGGCAACUGCCUGUGGAAAGUAGCAAUGGUGAUCACAGUUAAAAUCUUGUAUUAAGACAAUGCUUUUCUCUUAUGUAAGCCUCUUUAUUUGUUGGAGCCAUCAAUACUAAGUUGCUGUAUAAAGUGCUCAUUAGGAAACUGUGAUAUACAUAGUGGAUAAAUUUAGAAAAUGUCUUCUAUUGCUCUUUUUAAUUUGAUUGAAUAUAUAGGUUUAUUUCAAAAAUGUAAAUGGAAUAUGAAUGGGUUGAAUGCAUAUGUAUAUAUAUGUGAAACAUAAUUAGACAUCACACAGUAGACUUAGCUCCUGGCAAUGUUUUUUCUAAAAGCACCUGCAGAAAUCUGUCAUUUUUGUAGUUAAUUAAAAACUCAGAGGUUACAGGGGAAAGGAGGUUCUAUAAAUUGCAGCUAGUGCAAGAGCCAGAUUUGGCUUCAGGAAUUUUAGCAUGAUUCAUUGUAAGGUGAUAAUCCCUAGGAACUCCAAGACAGUGAGAAACCUGAAAGGUCUUAACAGCUAGGAAUGAAUGAUGAAACGUGGAAUGCAGUGGCUCGCAGGAUGGAGCUCUGUGAACCACCUGCCUGGUCUCUCAAGUUCCAAGUUGGCAGGGACACAUGGAAGGGAUUCUGGGCCUGAUUGUGUCCUCAUAACCAGGAUGCAGUCUGGUUGGCAGGGCAACGCGCCCUCACCUGGUGGCCUUCAGUGGGUGCCUUCAUUGGUUGCCUUUGUUCAGUGCCCUCAGUUGGUGCUCUUCAGUUGUUGGUCUUCAGUUGGUUUGGCAGUGGUGGAAGGUGAAGGAGCUCCAUCUGUGCUCUCUUCCUACCAUCACUGUUCUCAGACUUGUUGCACCUAGGCCCACUCUAAAUAAACCAGGCGGGUUAGCAACUUUUACAGACAGGUCAGCUCAAGGUAGGGGGGUAAGGUAAGUUGUGAGAUUUAAGUGGGAUGCAUCCCUACAUCUGGGGGCUUGCCCGUGCCAGCGUGACUUUGCUGUGAAGAGGCGGCAUGUUCUGAUCUCUGAAGACGUGGAAGCAAGUGAAGGCCUAAGCUGCCUGAGAAGAGCAGAGUUGCCCCAAGGGGACCAUACUUAAGUAUCUCAUGUACACCAAAGGCAGCACCAGGCAGGGCUGAAGCGGGGUUCUAUGAAGCCAUCCUGGGACUCUGACAUCUAUGAGUGAAGGUCAGAAAAGGUGGAGACACCAGCAGAGAAAAAAAGGGGCACCCAGAACAUGUUGUCCCACAAUGCCAGAGUGUGGCGAGCAGAACCAUUCUGAUGCUCCAUUAUCCAUGAUGUGGAGGUGGCAGUAGCACCAGACCCCACUGCUUUGAGGCCUGCCCAGUUGGGUUUGGGAGCUGGCCAGGGUCCUGACUUGCAGCACAUUCCAGACAAGAAGACAACCAAAGGUAGGGAGGCAACGAAUACUGCUUGGCUCAUCUAUGUGUUAUGUUAUGCUCACCUACAAAAGAUUGGAUACAGCAGGAGCUCCUGAGGCCACUGCUGACUCAAGGUUCCCCCCAAAGACAUCCACAGCCUGGGCUCUCUCACCUGUUAGCUUUCCCAGCCCCAGGCCCCAAGCAGGACUGACUGCCUCGAGUCCCACCAAUUCUUUCUUCCUAUGUCAAUGCCCAGUUCUGUUUCCUCUUCAUUUUGCCCAGGCUUCCUGAAAACUGGGUUUUCAAAAUAUAAAAUAUAAGCUAUAGAUUUCAUUGCUGUAGAGAAAGUGUCUGACAGCUUUUCUAGUUAAACUUAAGUGCGACGGUAAGACUCAAAAUUUCACAUCUCGAAUUCUGCACCAGAUUUCUUUAUCACAAAGCAAUAUUAGAGGCGCUCUUCUUGAGUGCAGUCAUAUAAAAUGAUAUUUUGUAGAGACAGGGUCUCACUGUGUUGCCCAGGCUAGUCUCCAACUCCUGGCCUCAAGUGAUCCAUCCACUUUGGCCUCCCACAUUGCUAGGGUGAAAGGCAGGAGCCACCACCCCUGGCCCUUGGAGGUGCUAUUGCUUUUGUGUGUAUAGCCUGGUCUUCCUGCACAGCUGUCAGUAAGGUGCUCCUGCAGCAUAGUUCUAAAUCUUUCUGCACAAAUUCUGUGGAUCCUGUCAUUUUUUUAAAUCUGGAAUAGCAAUAUAUUUUUUAGAGAAGCUAGACAAUUCACCAUUAGUAACCUAGGGACUAGAAAAUUUUAUUUCAUGAUCAACACAUCUCUUGGCUUAGAAAAUGUCUUUUCUUAAUCAAAGCACCUGUUUAUAAGGAGCUAAAUAUGUGGUCUAAAUAUGCAGCUUAGUAAUCAUCCCCAAGAAAAAGGGAACCACUGCAAGGCAACCUGGGAGGGAGUUUAGGAUUGUUCUGAAGCCAUAAAAACUAAUGAAAUUCACACAUGAAAGGGUGGAGAAAGGGAACCCACGUGUUGUGACUCCCUCCAUAUGCUGGGUACAACUCAGUCUCUGUUACGUUGCAUCACCUUUGCUGUCAGACAGAAUGGAAUUUGCAUCCGGUUUCCAUCACUCAUUAUGAUGUGGUGGGGAAUGAGUUUUUAACUUGGUUGAGCCUCAGUCUGCUCAUCAAUAAAAGAUGGGAGUGUUAUGUGACUUCCAUAAGGUAUGUGUGUAAAAAUCUGGCCAUAAUGCCUGGUAUUUAAAAAACAAAGUUGUUACGUGGCCUCCAUAAGGUAAGUGUGUAAAAAUCUGGCCAUAAUGCCUGGUAUUUAAAAAACAAAGUUGUUAUGUGGCCUCCAUAAGGUAAGUGUGUAAAAAUCUGGCCAUAAUGACUAUAAUUUAAAAUGUGGAUUUGUUACGUGGCUUCCAUAAGGUAAGUGUGCAAAAACCUGGGCAUAAUGCAUGUAAUUUAAAAGAUGAAAUUGUCACGUGGCCUCCAUAAGGUAAGUGUGUAAAAAUAUGGCCAUAAUGAAUGUAAUUUAAAAUAUGAAGUUGUUACUUGGCUUUCAUAAGGUAAGUGUGUAAAAAUCUGGGUAUAAUGCCUGUAAUUUAAAAGAUGAGGUUAUUAUGUAUCCUCCAUAAGGUAAGUGUGUAAAAAUCUGGGCAUACUGUAUGUAAUUUAAAACAUGGGGUUGUUAUGUGGCUUCCAUAAGGUAAGUGUGUAAGAAUCUGGCCAUAAUGACCAAAAUUUAAAAUGUGGAUUUGUUAUGUGGCUUCCAUAAGGUAAGUGUUUAAAAAUCUGGCCAUAAUGACUGUAAACUGUGAAGUUGUUACGUGACUUUCAUAAGGUAAGUGUGUAAAAACAUGGGCAUAAUUACUGUAGUUUAAUAUGUGAAGUUGUUACAUGGCAUCCAUAAGGUAAGUGUGUAGAAACCUGGGUAUAAUGCCUGUAAUUUAAAAGAUGAAGUUGUAACGUGGCCUCCAUAAGGUAAGUGUGUAAAAAUAUGGCCAUAAUGAAUAUAAUUUAAAAUAUGAAGUUGCUACUUGGCUUUCAUAAGGUAAGUGUGUAAAAAUCUGGGCAUAAUGCCUGUAAUUUAAAAGAUGAGGGUAUUAUGUAUCCUCUAUAAGGUAAGUAUGUAAAAAUCUUGGCAUACUGUAUGUAAUUUAAAACAUGGGGUUGUUAUGUGGCUUUCAUAAGGUAAGUGUGUAAAAAUCUUGACACAAUGCCUAUACAUUGGUAAGUGUUCAAUAUAUAAAGGAGGAUUCUUUUUCUGUUAUCUAAUUUUCAGAGAAAGCUUAUAAAAUUGGUAUUGUAUUUUGUAGAUAAUCAAGCCAAGAGUCAGAGAGAAUAAAUAAGUUACCAUAGUCACGAGGCAGUUCACAAUACAUACUGGUUAAUUGUUAUUUAUUAGUAGCAACGAGGAUCACAUUUAAAAUCUUGUAUUAACAGGGUGGUUUUCUCUUCUAUAAGCCCCUUUCUUUGUUGAAACCAUAAAUUUUAAGUUGCUAUAUGAAAGUGAGUGUGACAAAAUUGAUGAGCUUAGUGUAGAAAUUUUCUCUAUUUAUCUUGUUAAUUACAUUGAAUAUGUGUGUUGUUUUCAAAAAAAGGUAAUUUGAAUAUUUAUGUAUUGAAUAUAUAAAACAUUUUACAUUGUAGGGUAACCUUAAGUCAUGGCAGUGUGUUUUUCGGAAAGCACAUGCAGAACUCUGUCAUUUUUCCAGUUUCUAGAAAGCUCAGAGGUAAUAAGGGAAAGGAGGUUCUAUGAAUCCCAGCUAGUGCAUGAGGCAGAUUUUGUUUCAGUAAUUUUAGCAUCAUUCAUUGUAAGGUGAUGAUCCCUAGGAACGUCAGCACAGUGAGAAAUCUGAAAGCUCCCAGCAGCCAGCAAUGAGUGAAAGGUGGGGUGGGACCACAGGCAGGGCAGGGCAUAGUAAGGCUUGUACCUACGCCUUCAAGUUCUGACUCUGAAGGGAAGUAUGGAGGUGCCCUGGGCAUGAUUGCUUCCUCUUAACCAGAAAACAGUCUGGUUGGCAGGUCAACCGGCGUUCACCUGGAGGCCUUCAGUGGCUGCCCUCAUUGGCUGCCUUGGUUUUGUGCCCUCAGUUUGUGGUCUUCAGUUGGGGGACUACAUUGGGGGAUCAUCAGUUCAUGGGUAGUGAUGGAGGAUGAGGAGCUCCUCUGUGCUCUCUCCUUCUGCAGUCAUAGCUGUCAGGUUUGGUGCAUCCAGGCCCAUUCUAAAUCAACCAGGCAGAUUCUGACUGCUGCAGAGAAGUCAGCUCAGGAUGGCCAGGUGAGGGUGGGUGCAGGCUGCAAGGAGGGUACAGCCCCAUGGUCCAGGGCUGUCCAGGCCAGCCGUGCCUUGCCAGGAAGAGUCAGUAGGUGUGGAGCUCUGCAGACAUAUGGGCAGGCAGAGGCUCAGGUGCCCAAGAAAAUCAGAGUUGCCCCAUGGGGAACACACUGAGCUGUCACAUGUGCACCAAAGUCAAGCCCAGGCAGAGCCCCCACAGGAGUUCUGUGAAGCCAUCCUGAGGCUCCUAGUUAUGAGUUCACAGUCAGCAAAGGCACAGACCCCUGCAGAAAGGAGCAGAAGUGCCUGGAACACGCUGUACCCCAAUGCCAGCCCCAAGCGGGACCAGCUCAGGGUGAUGUGAAAGGAGCAGCCCUGCAGCUCUGAGAUCUACGAGGUGGAAGUGACAGUAGUGCCAGACCCCACUGCUUUGGAGCCUGCCCAGUCGGAUUUGGGAGCCAGCAAGUGUCGUGACUUGCGGGACGUUGUCGACCAGAAGACAACCAAAGGACCUAUCAAACGCACCCCUCAGCCCAAUGGACAGAUGCCCCAGGCUGCACAUUCUGUCAGUGCUGUUCUCCAAGAGGCCCAGACACGUGCUGAAACAUGGAAGAACUCACAUAUGUAUCUCAUCUGAUCUCAUCAUAACCUGGGACACAGGUUAUAAAUAAAGACUACAGAGCUCAUUUUAUACCGGGUGAACCAGCCAACUUCCAUGCAGUUGAGAAAAGGAUAACAAGCCAGCCCUUGAGAACCACCAGGAGCCAGGAGUGCCCCAGGACCCACAGGCCACCAAGUUCAGCCUGUCCCCGUUCCCUUCUGGUGUCGGACACCAGCAGCAGUCCCACCGAGUCCCCCAAGAUGGCUUCCCCACGCCACCUGAUGACUUCCUGCUGCUGCAGCCACCACCACUGCCCCUGGACGAUCAGGAGCUCCCCACUCCACUAGGUCAUCCCCUCCCCGUGGUAGCCAAGAGGCCUCCUAUGCCCCCCAAGAGGCAGGAAGCAUCCAUGUUCAGAAGCAGCAGAUGAAUAAAAUAAACGAAUAAAAGUUAAAUGUUCUUCCUGA